CAGCAGCCGCGGGAAUACGGAGGGCGCGAGCGUUACCCGGAUUUACUGGGCGUAAAGGGCGUGUAGGCGGCCUGGGGCGUCCCAUGUGAAAGGCCACGGCUCAACCGUGGAGGAGCGUGGGAUACGCUCAGGCUAGAGGGUGGGAGAGGGUGGUGGAAUUCCCGGAGUAGCGGUGAAAUGCGCAGAUACCGGGAGGAACGCCGAUGGCGAAGGCAGCCACCUGGUCCACUUCUGACGCUGAGGCGCGAAAGCGUGGGGAGCAAACCGGAUUAGAUACCCGAGUAGUCCCUGUCUCUUAUAA
rnacentral:rRNA from 1 species